GUCCACGCCAUAAACGAUGAGUACUAGGUGUUGCGGGUAUUGACCCCUGCAGUGCCGCAGCUAACGCAUUAAGUACUCCGCCUGGGAAGUACGGUCGCAAGACUAAAACUCAAAGGAAUUGACGGGGGCCCCGCACAAGCGGUGGAGCAUGUGGUUUAAUUCGACGCAACGCGCAGAACAUUACCCUGGUCUUGACAUCUACGGAACCUUCGUGAAAGCGAGGGGUGCCUUUCGGGGAGCCGUAAGACAGGUGCUGCAUGGCUGUCGU
rnacentral:rRNA from 1 species